ensembl:lncRNA
UAAAUGGGAGAUUUCUGACGAGAAAUUGCGUUUUUAUCAGGUUAAAUGGGGGAUUCUCGAAGAGAAAAUGCAAGACUUUCGGUUAAAUGGGGGAUUUUUGUGGUAAAAAUGCGUGGCUUUCAGGUUAAAUGGGGGUUUGUCGAAGAGAAAAUGCAUGAUUUCUGGGUUGAAUGUUUUUUUUUUUUCCUUUAGAGAAAAGUGGUGAUUUUUGAUUGUGUAUUUUUCCAAGAGAAAAUGCAUGGUUUUUCGAUUAAACGGGGGAUUUUUGAAAAGAAAAUGCGUGACUUUCGGUUAAAUGGGGGAUUUUUGUGGUAAAAAGGCAUGGCUUUCAGGCUAAAGCGGGGAUUCUCGAAGAGAAAAUACAUGAUUUCUGCAUUGAAUGUUUUGUUUUGUUUUCGUUUAGAGAAAAGUGGUGAUUUUUGAUUGUGUAUUUUUCCAAGAGAAAAUGCAUGGUUUUUCGAUUAAAUGGGGGAUUUUUGAAAAGAAAAUGCGUGACUUUUGGGAUAGGUCAGAGAUUCUUGAAGAGAAAAUGCAUCAUUAUUGGGUGACAUGGGGGAUUUCCGAAGCGAAAUUGCGUUUUUUCGAGUUAAAUGGGGGUUUUUGAAGAGAAAAUGCAUGAUUUUCAUUUACAUGUGAGAUUGUUGUAGAGGAAAUGCGUGACUUUGGGGUUAAAUGGGGGAUUGUUGUAGCGAAAGUGUUUGCUUUGGGGCUCAACUGGGGGAUUUUUGAAGAGAAAAAGCGUGAUUUUCAGGUUAAAUGGGGGAUUUUCCUAGAGUAAAUGUGUGGUUUUAGGGUUAAGGGGGUAUUUUUGAAGAGAAAAUGCAUGAUUUGGGGGCUAAGAGGGGAUUUUCCACGAGAAAAUGUGUGAUCUUCGAGUUAAAAUGGGGAUUUUCCAAGAGAAAAUGCCUGAUUUUGGGG